rnacentral:rRNA from 1 species
AGCGAACGCUGGCGGCAGGCCUAACACAUGCAAGUCGAACGAACCUUUCGGGGUUAGUGGCGGACGGGUGAGUAACACGUGGGAACGUGCCUUUAGGUUCGGAAUAACUCAGGGAAACUUGUGCUAAUACCGAAUGUGCCCUUCGGGGGAAAGAUUAAUCGCCUUUAGAGCGGCCCGCGUCUGAUUAGCUAGUUGGUUGAGGUAAUGGCUCACCAAGGCGACGAUCAGUAGCUGGUCUGAGAGGAUGAUCAGCCACAUUGGGACUGAGACACGGCCCAAACUCCUACGGGAGGCAGCAGUGGGGAAUCUUGCGCAAUGGGCGAAAGCCUGACGCAGCCAUGCCGCGUGAAUGAUGAAGGUCUUAGGAUUGUAAAAUUCCUUCACCGGGGACGAUAAUGACGGUACCCGGAGAAGAAGCCCCGGCUAACUUCGUG